rnacentral:rRNA from 1 species
UACGGGGGGAGCAAGCGUUGUUCGGAUUUACUGGGCGUAAAGGGCGCGUAGGCGGCCACCGCAAGUCGACUGUGAAAUCUCCGGGCUUAACCCGGAAAGGUCAGCCGAUACUGCGGGGCUAGAGUGCGGAAGGGGCAACUGGAAUUCUCGGUGUAGCGGUGAAAUGCGUAGAUAUCGAGAGGAACACCUGCGGCGAAGGCGGGUUGCUGGCCGACACUGACGCUGAUGCGCGAAAGCCAGGGAGCGAACGGG